rnacentral:lncRNA from 1 species
CCGGCUCAGGGUGUCGGUCUAGUACAAAACAGUGCUAAUAAUCAUAUCACAUUAACAUGUUCUUGUACGAAUAUGCAUAUAUCAAUUUGCCGCUGGAUGUCAAGAAUCCACCCAUAAUCAUCUAUAGUUGAAACUGUGAAAUAUAUGCACAAAACCAUGAUAAAAAGCUGCACGUAAAUAUAAUGCACUGAGUUCAGGUUCAUUC